UACGUAGGGUGCGAGCGUUGUCCGGAAUUAUUGGGCGUAAAGGGCCCGUAGGCGGUCUGUUGCGUCAGGAGUGAAAACUCGGGGCUUAACCCCGAGCCUGCUUCUGAUACGGGCAGACUAGAGGUAUGCAGGGGAGAACGGAAUUCCUGGUGUAGCGGUGAAAUGCGCAGACAUCAGGAGGAACACCGGUGGCGAAGGCGGUUCUCUGGGCAUUACCUGACGCUGAGGAGCGAAAGUGUGGGGAGCGAACAGG
rnacentral:rRNA from 1 species